rnacentral:rRNA from 1 species
GACGAACGCUGGCGGCGUGCUUAACACAUGCAAGUCGAACGGAAAGGCCCUGCUUUUGUGGGGUGCUCGAGUGGCGAACGGGUGAGUAACACGUGAGUAACCUGCCCUUGACUUUGGGAUAACUUCAGGAAACUGGGGCUAAUACCGGAUAGGAGCUCCUGCUGCAUGGUGGGGGUUGGAAAGUUUCGGCGGUUGGGGAUGGACUCGCGGCUUAUCAGCUUGUUGGUGGGGUAGUGGCUUACCAAGGCUUUGACGGGUAGCCGGCCUGAGAGGGUGACCGGCCAAAGUGGGAAUGGGGACGCGCCCGGCCCCCGACGGGGGGCAGGAGGGGGGAUUAUUGACAAAUGGGGGGAAGCCUGAUGCAGCAUCCCCGGGUGGGGAAGGGCGGCCUUCGGGUUGGAAACCGUUUUCCCCUGGAAAGAAGCGGGAGGGAGGGUAAUGGGUAAAAAAGCACCGGCUAACUAGGU